AAAGACUUCCAUGAUUCUGAUGCUCUUUGCGUCCACCAUACCCACCAUAUCCCCUUGGUGGGGGACUCCUUCCUCUACCCCCAUAUCCCCUCCUUGGAGGACUAUAAUAUGGUGGACUGUACCUCCGCAUGAUGAAGCUGGAAAACGGAAACUACAGACAUCGCUCUCUUAUGGCGCUCUGCCAAGGGAACAGAAGGGGUAAAAUAAAAGAAGAAGAACAAAAGGGGGCAGCGUGGAAAGAAGGCAAAAUUACUGCGUAUUAUUGGCAUUCAUAAAAGAAA